UGGAAGCGUCUGGAAAGGCGCGCGAUACAGGGUGACAGCCCCGUACACAAAAAUGCACAUGCUGUGAGCUCGAUGAGUAGGGCGGGACACGUGGUAUCCUGUCUGAAUAUGGGGGGACCAUCCUCCAAGGCUAAAUACUCCUGACUGACCGAUAGUGAACCAGUACCGUGAGGGAAAGGCGAAAAGAACCCCGGCGAGGGGAGUGAAAAAGAACCUGAAACCGUGUACGUACAAGCAGUGGGAGCCUCUUUAUGGGGUGACUGCGUACCUUUUGUAUAAUGGGUCAGCGACUUAUAUUCUGUAGCAAGGUUAACCGAAUAGGGGAGCCGAAGGGAAACCGAGUCUUAACUGGGCGUUAAGUUGCAGGGUAUAGACCCGAAACCCGGUGAUCUAGCCAUGGGCAGGUUGAAGGUUGGGUAACACUAACUGGAGGACCGAACCGACUAAUGUUGAAAAAUUAGCGGAUGACUUGUGGCUGGGGGUGAAAGGCCAAUCAAACCGGGAGAUAGCUGGUUCUCCCCGAAAGCUAUUUAGGUAGCGCCUCGUGAAUUCAUCUCCGGGGGUAGAGCACUGUUUCGGCAAGGGGGUCAUCCCGACUUACCAACCCGAUGCAAACUGCGAAUACCGGAGAAUGUUAUCACGGGAGACACACGGCGGGUGCUAACGUCCGUCGUGAAGAGGGAAACAACCCAGACCGCCAGCUAAGGUCCCAAAGUCAUGGUUAAGUGGGAAACGAUGUGGGAAGGCCCAGACAGCCAGGAUGUUGGCUUAGAAGCAGCCAUCAUUUAAAGAAAGCGUAAUAGCUCACUGGUCGAGUCGGCCUGCGCGGAAGAUGUAACGGGGCUAAACCAUGCACCGAAGCUGCGGCAGCGACACUAUGUGUUGUUGGGUAGGGGAGCGUUCUGUAAGCCUGUGAAGGUGUGCUGUGAGGCAUGCUGGAGGUAUCAGAAGUGCGAAUGCUGACAUAAGUAACGAUAAAGCGGGUGAAAAGCCCGCUCGCCGGAAGACCAAGGGUUCCUGUCCAACGUUAAUCGGGGCAGGGUGAGUCGACCCCUAAGGCGAGGCCGAAAGGCGUAGUCGAUGGGAAACAGGUUAAUAUUCCUGUACUUGGUGUUACUGCGAAGGGGGGACGGAGAAGGCUAUGUUGGCCGGGCGACGGUUGUCCCGGUUUAAGCGUGUAGGCUGGUUUUCCAGGCAAAUCCGGAAAAUCAAGGCUGAGGCGUGAUGACGAGGCACUACGGUGCUGAAGCAACAAAUGCCCUGCUUCCAGGAAAAGCCUCUAAGCAUCAGGUAACAUCAAAUCGUACCCCAAACCGACACAGGUGGUCAGGUAGAGAAUACCAAGGCGCUUGAGAGAACUCGGGUGAAGGAACUAGGCAAAAUGGUGCCGUAACUUCGGGAGAAGGCACGCUGAUAUGUAGGUGAAGUCCCUCGCGGAUGGAGCUGAAAUCAGUCGAAGAUACCAGCUGGCUGCAACUGUUUAUUAAAAACACAGCACUGUGCAAACACGAAAGUGGACGUAUACGGUGUGACGCCUGCCCGGUGCCGGAAGGUUAAUUGAUGGGGUCAGCGCAAGCGAAGCUCUUGAUCGAAGCCCCGGUAAACGGCGGCCGUAACUAUAACGGUCCUAAGGUAGCGAAAUUCCUUGUCGGGUAAGUUCCGACCUGCACGAAUGGCGUAAUGAUGGCCAGGCUGUCUCCACCCGAGACUCAGUGAAAUUGAACUCGCUGUGAAGAUGCAGUGUACCCGCGGCAAGACGGAAAGACCCCGUGAACCUUUACUAUAGCUUGACACUGAACAUUGAGCCUUGAUGUGUAGGAUAGGUGGGAGGCUUGGAAGUGUGGACGCCAGUCUGCAUGGAGCCGACCUUGAAAUACCACCCUUUAAUGUUUGAUGUUCUAACGUUGACCCGUAAUCCGGGUUGCGGACAGUGUCUGGUGGGUAGUUUGACUGGGGCGGUCUCCUCCUAAAGAGUAACGGAGGAGCACGAAGGUUGGCUAAUCCUGGUCGGACAUCAGGAGGUUAGUGCAAUGGCAUAAGCCAGCUUGACUGCGAGCGUGACGGCGCGAGCAGGUGCGAAAGCAGGUCAUAGUGAUCCGGUGGUUCUGAAUGGAAGGGCCAUCGCUCAACGGAUAAAAGGUACUCCGGGGAUAACAGGCUGAUACCGCCCAAGAGUUCAUAUCGACGGCGGUGUUUGGCACCUCGAUGUCGGCUCAUCACAUCCUGGGGCUGAAGUAGGUCCCAAGGGUAUGGCUGUUCGCCAUUUAAAGUGGUACGCGAGCUGGGUUUAGAACGUCGUGAGACAGUUCGGUCCCUAUCUGCCGUGGGCGCUGGAGAACUGAGGGGGGCUGCUCCUAGUACGAGAGGACCGGAGUGGACGCAUCACUGGUGUUCGGGUUGUCAUGCCAAUGGCACUGCCCGGUAGCUAAAUGCGGAAGAGAUAAGUGCUGAAAGCAUCUAAGCACGAAACUUGCCCCGAGAUGAGUUCUCCCUGACUCCUUGAGAGUCCUGAAGGAACGUUGAAGACGACGACGUUGAUAGGCCGGGUGUGUAAGCGCAGCGAUGCGUUGAGCUAACCGGUACUAAUGAACCGUGAGGCUUAACCUUACAAC
rnacentral:rRNA from 1 species